GCAUACUGCACUGGGGCAUCUUGUUAAAAUGCAGAUUCUAAUCCAGUAUGUCUGGGCUGAGAAUCUGCAUGUCUGACAAGCUCCCAGAUGUUGCUGCU
rnacentral:miRNA from 1 species